AGUUAUUUAGCUAAUGUAAGCUUUUGCUUUGAAAGCAAAGAAUAGGAUUUCUCUUAGUAACUU
rnacentral:tRNA from 1 species